AUUGAACGCUGGCGGCAGGCCUAACACAUGCAAGUAGAACGAGUGGCGGACGGGUGCGUAAUGUCUGGGAAACUGCCCGAUGGAGGGGGAUAAAUACUGGAAAAGGUAGCUAAUACCGCAUACCAUCGGAUGUGCCCAGAUGGGAUUAGCUAUUAGGUGGGGUAACGGCUCACCUAGGAGACGAUCCCUAGCUGGUCUGAGAGGAUGACGAGCCACACGGGAACUGCGACACGGUCCAGACUCCUCCGGGAGGCAGCAGUGGGGAAUAUUGCACAAUGUGCGCAAGCCUGAUGCAUCCCUGCCGCGUGUAUGAAGAAGGCCUUCGGGGUGUAAAGUACUUUCAGCGAGGAGGCGUUACUCGCAGAAGAAGCACCGGCUAACUCCGUGCCAGCAGCCGCGGUAAUAC
rnacentral:rRNA from 1 species